UCAGCUUUUGCCAUCACAAGAACAAAUUCCAUUCUAAGAUGCAUUACAAUAGAAAACAGUUAUUUUUUAAAAGUUCACAUUUUUACAGUUUUUCCCCGUCCUUUCACAUUAAAAAUAUUACCAAACUUGUAGGUUGGCAUCAAACUUGUUUAGGUAAUGUUCAGUCCAUUGUUAACACUGAGCCAUUUGCUGUUCUGUUUCAUUGUGUCUCACAAAGCAUUUGAGUCGGGUGUUUUUGUUUGUCUCUCUGGCUCUUUCUGCACACUCAGUGGGAAUGUUGUGGGAUAUCACGUGGUGGCCCCAUGCAAGCCCUGCUUGCUGUCCUGCAACAAUGGUCAUUUCUGGAUGUUCAACAGUGAGGCUGUGUCCACUAUCAAUAGACUGGAUGCAACAGGGCAGAACUUGCUGCUGUGGGGAGAUCUUCCAGAACUGGAGGGCAGUGAUGACGAGAGUCUGGACUUUCUCUCAGAAGAAGAGUACCUCAGAUAGAAACACACACAUCCAAAGGAAGUAGACUCUGACGGUAGCGAACUAGUUUUACUUUCACUCAAACAAGUCUCCGUUUAAAGCACAUUGUCUUGUCUUUAGCUGACUGGGAAUAGGCAAAAGAAAAAAAAGGUCUUUAUCAUCCCAGCUUGAUUUAUAUGCAUUUUCUUUCUGCAUCUCCUCAGAUUAGUUUCAGUAUGUCAGAGUGCCACUACCAAAGAGCUGUUUCUGUUUUCUUUGCUUUAUGGUUGCAGUAGCACAAAACAUGAUGAUUGGAUUUAAAGAUUUAGGAUGUUAUCCUCAUAUGUCUUUAUACAACAUUCACAAAUGGAUCAGACUGUUUAAGAAGAUUAACAGUAGUGUUACUUUGAGGUGUUAAUACAGGUUAUUUACUCCGGUACUAAUGCAGUUUUUGGGAGGCAACCAGAUAGAUAGAUAGAUACAAUCUUGCAAAAUAAAAUGCUGGUUCCACAAGUCUAUGUGCUUUUAUAGGAAGGAAAUGACUGACAUUUACCAUGUUUUAAUGGUUUACCAGUAUAUUUGUCCAUUUCAAUUGAAUAUCACGUAAAGUCCCCUGAAGAUGGAUAUCAAUUGGUAUAUUUAUUCUAAACAAGGUUCAUCCGUGCAUAAUAUUUUUUUUUAUUUAGAUUUUGCUCUUU